UACGGAGGGUGCAAGCGUUAAUCGGAAUUACUGGGCGUAAAGCGCGCGUAGGUGGUUUGGUAAGCGAGAUGUGAAAGCCCCGGGCUUAACCUGGGAACGGCAUUUUGAACUGCCAGACUAGAGUGUGGUAGAGGGUAGUGGAAUUUCCUGUGUAGCGGUGAAAUGCGUAGAUAUAGGAAGGAACACCAGUGGCGAAGGCGGCUACCUGGACCAACACUGACACUGAGGUGCGACAGCGUGGGGAGCAAACAGGAUUAGAUACCCUGGUAGUCCCU
rnacentral:rRNA from 1 species